GGCGCAGUGGCGUAGUGGGUUUACGCCCUGGCCUGAAGUGCCGGCAACCCAUAUGGACGCUGGUUCUAGUCCUGGCUGCUCCU
rnacentral:tRNA from 1 species